CUUCUUCUAGAGCAAUUUCUGAAAAUAUGCGACUCUGUAAUAAAGGGCUGGGUUCCUGACUCAUGAGAAGCAGUUUAGUUUACAGAAGCAGCACUCCUGGGGCAGACUAAUCUGCUGUGUGUUAAACAAGCAUUUCUUGAUGGGCUGCUCCCACGUAGCCAGGGCCUGUGUCCACUCCUUCACUUCCUCCCCAAUUCCUCAGCAGUGAGGCACCUACCCAGGCUUGAUCAGCCCCAGAUGUGAGUGGGCUGGAUGGCUGAGCUGGGGCGUGAGAAUCCGUGCCGGAAAACAUCGUAUGUCAUGACUAAUACUGCCAUAUGAGCUGCCAGUGCUUCUGGGAUGCAUCAGGAAGAUCUCUGUGUUGCAGGAAGUUUCGGGAGCACCUGGACACACAGGGGAAAAAAAAAACCCAGAAAAACAAAAGUGUAUCAUCUUCAAACGAAGCCAGAUCUGGAGCUGUAAGUAAACUUCUCAAGGCCACAUGAAGAAGCUGCGUCUCUUCACCACAGGGGGCUGGAACUUCAGAGCAGCUUUGAUAUCACAGGUAAACAUGUUACUAAACGGCAGUUAUAUGGGGAGGAGAAAGAGCCCAAGAUAACUGUGAAGUGUUAUUAUUCGAGAUUUGUUUGAGGUGAUUUUCUUCCUUGGUGGGUAAUUAUCAGAUUAAAUGGUUUAAGAAUGAAAAUUAGAAAAAUUCUUCAAGAGNNNNNNNNNNNNNNNNNNNNNNNNNNNNNNNNNNNNNNNNNNNNNNNNNNNNNNNNNUUAAUUGUAUUAUAAAGCAGACUGGAGAAAUGCAAGAAUGUGACAGACAAGCACUUCCAGCCACCUAUGACUAUAAAAAUCCCAGUUUGCAGCAUGAGUGCUCUCUAACCACAUCCAGAGGGCUGUAUUUGUGAAAGAGAUCAAAGACAGCACAAAACUGUUGUCCUUACCACCUCAAUUUUAGAUGAUCUCUGAAUCCUCCCAUGUGCUGCUGUGCAAAAUUGAGAAUCUUUCCCUUGUUCUCUGGCAGCGCUGUUAGAACGUGAGAUAGGGUCAGAGAGCAAUUUCUGGUGUUACCGAGGUGUUUAAAAUUAAGCCUGUGCUUUGAUUAACCAUACCCACGACACCCUAUUUCAGACGUCAUGAUCACGGGGACAGCCCCCUUGCUGCAGUGGGAGAUGUCCUGCACCUCUGAGAUGGAUCUGUAAGGGCUGCUGCUUGGGAUGAGGUGAUGUUACCUAUGCACACAGAUGGUGGUCUGGUGACAAGCAACGGUUAGGCUUGCUCUGGAGGGACGCUUUGGUGAAGACCCUCUCUCAUGUCGGGCUGGAAGAUGUGCUGCUGCAGUCAGUCUGUCCUAGUAUGAAGAGUCAGAUGGACACUUGCGGGUUGCAUGUGACUGUGUGUGCCAUGUACAGGAGCUGCUGAGGCUGUCAUCUCAAUGUUACUACAGUUACAUUUUUCCUUGUGUCACACCUGUGUUUGAACCUGCCUUUCCUGUUC
rnacentral:lncRNA from 1 species